CGGUCCAGACACCUACGGGUGGCAGCAGUCGAGAAUCAUUCACAAUGGGCGAAAGCCUGAUGGUGCGACGCCGCGUGGGGGAUGAAGGGCUUCGGUUCGUAAACCCCUGUCAUCUGUGAGUAAGACUCCCAAUAAAAGCUUGGGAGGUUGAUAUUAGCAGAAGAGGAAGGGACGGCUAACUCUGUGCCAGCAGCCGCGGUAAUACAGAGGUCCCAAGCGUUGUUCGGAUUUACUGGGCGUAAAGAGUGCGUAGGCGGCUAGAAAAGUUUGGUGUGAAAUCUUCGGGCUUAACCCGGAAACUGCACUGAAAACUAUCUGGCUAGAGGAUCGGAGAGGAGAUUGGAAUUCUCGGUGUAGCAGUGAAAUGCGUAGAUAUCGAGAGGAACACCAGUUGCGAAGGCGGAUCUCUGGACGGUUCCUGACGCUGAGGCACGAAAGCUGGGGUAGCGAAGAGGAUUAGAUACCCUCGUAGUCCCAGCCGUAAACGGUGCACACUUGCUGUGGGCGGAUUCGACCCCGUCCGUGGCGAAGCUAACGCGAUAAGUGUGCCGCCUGGGGAGUACGGUCGCAAGAUUAAAACUCAAAGAAAUUGACGGGGGCCUGCACAAGCGGUGGAGUAUGUGGCUUAAUUCGAUGCAACGCGAAGAACCUUACCUGGCCUUGACAUGUAGUGGACCGGGUGCGAAAUCACCCUUUUCUUCGGAACUGCUACACAGGUGCUGCAUGGCUGUCGUCAGCUCGUGUCGUGAGAUGUUGGGUUAAGUCCCGCAACGAGCGCAACCCCCGUGUUCUGUUGCCACCCGGAUGAGAAUCCGGAGCACUCUGGACAGACUGCCUGGUUUCAACCAGGAGGAAGGUGGGGAUGACGUCAAGUCAGUAUGGCCCUUACGGCCAGGGCUGCACACGUACUACAAUGCCUAGUACAAUGGGACGCGAGACCGCGAGGUGGAGCAAAUCCCCAAAACUAGGCUCAGUUCAGAUUGUAGGCUGCAACUCGCCUACAUGAAGGAGGAAUCGCUAGUAAUGCCGUAUCAGCUACGACGGCGUGAAUACGUUCCCAGGCCUUGU
rnacentral:rRNA from 1 species